rnacentral:tRNA from 1 species
GAGGGUAUAGCUCAAGUGGUAGAGCACAUGCUUAGCAUGCAUGAGGUCCUGGGUUCAAUCCCCAGUACCUCUU